GCCUGGCCGGCUCAAUUGGUAGAGCAUGUGACUCUUGAUCUCAGGGUUGUGAAUUUGAGCCCCACGCUGGGCA
rfam:Canis lupus familiaris chromosome 26, whole genome shotgun sequence.